UACGUAGGGUGCGAGCGUUGUCCGGAAUUACUGGGCGUAAAGAGCUCGUAGGCGGUCUGUCGCGUCUGCUGUGAAAACUCAGGGCUUAACCCUGAGCUUGCAGUGGGUACGGGCAGACUAGAGUGCGGUAGGGGAGACUGGAAUUCCUGGUGUAGCGGUGAAAUGCGCAGAUAUCAGGAGGAACACCGGUGGCGAAGGCGGGGUCUCUGGGCCGGUAACUG
rnacentral:rRNA from 1 species